UAGGGAAUCUUCCACAAUGGGCGCAAGCCUGAUGGAGCAACACCGCGUGAGUGAAGAAGGGUUUCGGCUCGUAAAGCUCUGUUGUUGGAGAAGAACGUGCGUGAGAGUAACUGUUCACGCAGUGACGGUAUCCAACCAGAAAGUCACAGCUAACUACGUGCCAGCAGCCGCGGUAAUACGGAGGGUGCAAGCGUUAAUCGGAAUAACUGGGCGUAAAGGGCAUGCAGGCGGUUAUACAAGUAGGAUGUGAAAGCCUGGGGCUCAACCUCAGAACUGCAUUCUAAACUGUGUGACUAGAGUAUUGCAGGGGGAGACGGAAUUUCAGGUGUAGCGGUGGAAUGCGUAGAUAUCUGAAAGAACACCAAAGGCGAAGGCA
rnacentral:rRNA from 1 species